rnacentral:rRNA from 1 species
AAUCAAGCAAUUCGUGUGGGUGCUUGUGAUGUAAGACUGAUGAUCGCAAGAUUAUCAGCAACGCAAGUAACACUCGUGAAUUCGAGAGUUUUAUCUCUUUUUAAGAGAAUGCGAUUGCUGAGCCAAGUUUAGGGUUUUCUCAAAACCCAAGCAGUAUUGAACUGAAGAGUUUGAUCAUGGCNNNNNNNNNNNNNNNNNNNNNNNNNNNNNNNNNNNNNNNNNNNNNNNNNNNNNNNNNNNNNNNNNNNNNNNNNNNNNNNNNNNNNNNNNNNNNNNNNNNNCCCCGAGGAAAAGAAAUCAACCGAGAUUCCCCCAGUAGCGGCGAGCGAACGGGGAGCAGCCCGGAGUCUGAAUCAGCUUGUGUGUUAGUGGAAGCGUCUGGAAAGUCGCAGGGUACAGGGUGAUACUCCCGUACACUAAAACGCACAGGUUGUGAACUCGAAGAGUAGGGCGGGACACGUGGUAUCCUGUCUGAAUAUGGGGGGACCAUCCUCCAAGGCUAAAUACUCCUGACUGACCGAUAGUGAACCAGUACCGGGAGGGAAAGGCGAAAAGAACCCCGGCGAGGGGAGUGAAAAAGAACCUGAAACCGUGUACGUACAAGCAGUAGGAGCCCCACCACCAAAGCGUUUCGCUUUGCGUGGUGCGCAAAAUGCGUAACGACAGCGCGAUGGACGGUUAACGGAGCGUAAGCGACGUUCAACAUCAAAAAUCAGGCAGUGGAGCGUUUUGGGGUGGGGUGACUGCGUACCUUUUGUAUAAUGGGUCAGCGACUUAUAUUCUGUAGCAAGGUUAACCGUAUAGGGGAGCCGCAGGGAAACCGAGUCUUAACUGGGCGUUAAGUUGCAGGGUAUAGACCCGAAACCCGGUGAUCUAGCCAUGGGCAGGUUGAAGGUUGGGUAACACUAACUGGAGGACCGAACCGACUAAUGUUGAAAAAUUAGCGGAUGACUUGUGGCUGGGGGUGAAAGGCCAAUCAAACCGGGAGAUAGCUGGUUCUCCCCGAAAGCUAUUUAGGUAGCGCCUCGUGAACUCAUCUUCGGGGGUAGAGCACUGUUUCGGCUAGGGGGUCAUCCCGACUUACCAACCCGAUGCAAACUACGAAUACCGAAGAAUGUUAUCACGGGAGACACACGGCGGGUGCUAACGUCCGUCGUGAAGAGGGAAACAACCCAGACCGCCAGCUAAGGUCCCAAAGUCAUGGUUAAGUGGGAAACGAUGUGGGAAGGCCCAGACAGCCAGGAUGUUGGCUUAGAAGCAGCCAUCAUUUAAAGAAAGCGUAAUAGCUCACUGGUCGAGUCGGCCUGCGCGGAAGAUGUAACGGGGCUAAACCAUGCACCGAAGCUGCGGCAGCGACACUAUGUGUUGUUGGGUAGGGGAGCGUUCUGUAAGCCGUUGAAGGUGGCCUGUGAGGGUUGCUGGAGGUAUCAGAAGUGCGAAUGCUGACAUAAGUAACGAUAAUGCGGGUGAAAAACCCGCACGCCGGAAGACCAAGGGUUCCUGUCCAACGUUAAUCGGGGCAGGGUGAGUCGACCCCUAAGGCGAGGCCGAAAGGCGUAGUCGAUGGGAAACAGGUUAAUAUUCCUGUACUCGGUGUUACUGCGAAGGGGGGACGGAGAAGGCUAUGUUGGCCGGGCGACGGUUGUCCCGGUUUAAGCAUGUAGGCGGAUGUUCCAGGUAAAUCCGGAACGUUACUAACGCUGAGGUGUGAUGACGAGGCACUACGGUGCUGAAGUGACAAAUGCCCUGCUUCCAGGAAAAGCCUCUAAGCAUCAGGUAACAUCAAAUCGUACCCCAAACCGACACAGGUGGUCAGGUAGAGAAUACCAAGGCGCUUGAGAGAACUCGGGUGAAGGAACUAGGCAAAAUGGUGCCGUAACUUCGGGAGAAGGCACGCUGAUGGUAGGUGAAGUGACUUGCUCAUGGAGCUGAAAUCAGUCGAAGAUACCAGCUGGCUGCAACUGUUUAUUAAAAACACAGCACUGUGCAAACACGAAAGUGGACGUAUACGGUGUGACGCCUGCCCGGUGCCGGAAGGUUAAUUGAUGGGGUUAUCCGUAAGGAGAAGCUCUUGAUCGAAGCCCCGGUAAACGGCGGCCGUAACUAUAACGGUCCUAAGGUAGCGAAAUUCCUUGUCGGGUAAGUUCCGACCUGCACGAAUGGCGUAAUGAUGGCCAGGCUGUCUCCACCCGAGACUCAGUGAAAUUGAACUCGCUGUGAAGAUGCAGUGUACCCGCGGCAAGACGGAAAGACCCCGUGAACCUUUACUAUAGCUUGACACUGAACACUGGUCCUUGAUGUGUAGGAUAGGUGGGAGGCUUUGAAGUGUGGACGCCAGUCUGCAUGGAGCCAUCCUUGAAAUACCACCCUUUAAUGGCUGGUGUUCUAACGUGGGCCCCUGAUCGGGGUUGCGGACAGUGUCUGGUGGGUAGUUUGACUGGGGCGGUCUCCUCCUAAAGAGUAACGGAGGAGCACGAAGGUCAGCUAAUCCUGGUCGGACAUCAGGAGGUUAGUGCAAUGGCAUAAGCUGGCUUGACUGCGAGCGUGACGGCGCGAGCAGGUGCGAAAGCAGGUCAUAGUGAUCCGGUGGUUCUGAAUGGAAGGGCCAUCGCUCAACGGAUAAAAGGUACUCCGGGGAUAACAGGCUGAUACCGCCCAAGAGUUCAUAUCGACGGCGGUGUUUGGCACCUCGAUGUCGGCUCAUCACAUCCUGGGGCUGAAGCCGGUCCCAAGGGUAUGGCUGUUCGCCAUUUAAAGUGGUACGCGAGCUGGGUUUAGAACGUCGUGAGACAGUUCGGUCCCUAUCUGCCGUGGACGUUUGAGAUUUGAGAGGGGCUGCUCCUAGUACGAGAGGACCGGAGUGGACGAACCUCUGGUGUUCCGGUUGUCACGCCAGUGGCAUUGCCGGGUAGCUAUGUUCGGAAAAGAUAACCGCUGAAAGCAUCUAAGCGGGAAACUUGCCUCAAGAUGAGAUCUCACUGGGAACUUGAUUCCCCUGAAGGGCCGUCGAAGACUACGACGUUGAUAGGCUGGGUGUGUAAGCGUUGUGAGGCGUUGAGCUAACCAGUACUAAUUGCCCGUGAGGCUUGACCAU